AAACACACCUGAACAAGUUAACCAGGGUCUUCAAGAUUAGGCCACUAGCCCACGGGCAGCACAUUGUCCAGUGAGAGAUCGCAGGUCGAGAAGAUGAACGCUCGCGUGUGCUGCUCGUUGAUCGCUGUUUUGUUGUGUCUCUCUGUGUGCUUGAGCACAACAGACGCCAAAAAACAUGUCAGAGGAAAACGAAAUGCUCGUUUGUCACCAGCAAAGCCAGGAGUGUGUCCUGAUGACAAAGACAUGAUAGGAGUGUGUGUCGAGGACUGUUUUGGUGAUCGCGAAUGUCCAGAUGAUGAGAAAUGCUGCAGCAAUGGAUGUGGACAUCAGUGUAUGCCUCCAUAUAUAGUAGUAAAGCCAGGAUUCUGUCCAGAAACUGUUGGAUUUGGACCGUGUGUUGAGAAGUGUUCUGGUGACGGUAGCUGUCCAAACAACCAGAAAUGCUGCAGCAAUGGAUGUGGACAUCAGUGUAUGGCUCCAUAUAGAGUAGUAAAGCCAGGAUUCUGUCCAGAAACUGUUGGAUUUGGACCGUGUGUUGAGAAGUGUUCUGGUGACGGUAGCUGUCCAAACAACCAGAAAUGCUGCAGCAAUGGAUGUGGACAUCAGUGUAUGGCUCCAUAUAGAGCAGAAAAGCCAGGAUCGUGUCCAAAACCCAUUGGAUUUGGACUGUGUGCGGAGAUGUGUUCUAGUGACAAUAACUGUCCAAACAACCAGAAAUGCUGCAGCAAUGGAUGUGGACAUCAGUGUAUGGCUCCAUAUACAGCAGUAAAGCCAGGAUCCUGUCCAAAACCCAUUGGAGCCGGACUGUGUGUUGAGAAGUGUUCUGGUGACGGUAGCUGUCCAAACAAUCAGAAAUGCUGCAGCAAUGGAUGUGGACAUCAGUGUAUGGCUCCAUAUAGAGAAAAGCCAGGAGUGUGUCCAAAAAUGAAUCUUAAAGAUUGUGCUCAGUUGUGUUUCCAAGACGGUCAAUGUCCGGAUGAUCAGAAAUGCUGCAGCAAUAAAUGUGGACAUCGGUGUGUGCCUCCAUAUAAAGAAAAGCCCGGAGUGUGUCCAAAAAUGAAUCUUAAAGAUUGUGCUCAGUUGUGUUCCCUAGACGAUGACUGUCCGAAGGAUCAGAAAUGCUGCAGCAGUGGAUGUGGCCGACAGUGUAUGGCUCCUUAUAAAGAAAAGCCAGGAGUGUGUCCAAAAUGAAUCUUAAAGAUUGUGCUCAGUUGUGUUCCCAAGACGGUCAAUGUCCGGAUGAUCAGAAAUGCUGCAGCAAUAAAUGUGGACAUCGGUGUGUGCCUCCAUAUAAAGAAAAGCCCGGAGUGUGUCCAAAAAUGAAUCUUAAAGAUUGUGCUCAGUUGUGUUCCCUAGACGAUGACUGUCCGAAGGAUCAGAAAUGCUGCAGCAGUGGAUGUGGACGACAGUGUAUGGCUCCUUAUAAAGAAAAGCCAGGAGUGUGUCCAGUGUCUUUUGCUGGAGUAAAAGGACGGUGUGCAGAAGAGUUGUGUGUCAGUGACUUUGACUGUCCGAGAAAUCAGAAGUGCUGCAGCUCUUUUUGUGGAGGACGUAUGUGUACACCUGCAUCUUAAGACAGAAGUGUCCCAGACACCGGUGGACAUGCAGAGAACAUGACAAUUUAACCAUUGGAAAAAGCCACCCCCAAUGUUGUACUUGAGGUCUUUUUGUCUUCCUCAAAUAAAUCUGUUUAAAGGUC